UUAAAAACUACGAAGAGAAAAGUAAGAUUUAAUCAUUUUUUUAAAGAGAGCCUCGGGAGCUGAAAAGAAGCAAAAAAUGUAAAUCUGAAAAAUGGCCUCUGAGUUUCGUGCUGAACGUAUCAAUUGAUAUUAGUAGGUUCCGACGAGAGUUGGUACUCGUUAUCCAUACCACAGUAUAAAAGUUUAAGCUUGAGUACUUGUCGAGGCUGUAUGUGUGAGCAUGCAGUAAAGUAAGGUGGUACCACGUUGAUUCAACCACGUCCUUAUC
rnacentral:ncRNA from 1 species